CAGGGAUACAAUAACUAAUUGUGAUGUCUGAGUAAUUUACUCUCAGGCCACGAUUCUGUCAUCUCUAAGGUCGAUCGGUACCUCAAUUUUGGAUGUUUAAGAAAAGCUGAGCAAUCAGUUUAGAGAUAAACGUCUUAAUUUCAGUUCCUAAACUUUGUCUAGGUCACCCCACAGUGGGUAAAGCCGUAAGCACCAACUUAAUUGUUAGUGUUUGAUCUGGCCAGCCGAAAGGCGAGCUGGAUUGCGGUACGAGCUCCUGGGCCAUUAGCUCAGGUGGUUAGAGCGCACCCCUGAUAAGGGUGAGGUCCCUGGUUCAAGUCCAGGAUGGCCCAUUCGUGUUUGGGGGUUUAGCUCAGUUGGUAGAGCGCCUGCUUUGCAAGCAGGAUGUCAGCGGUUCGAGUCCGCUAACCUCCAUCCAAUGAUGAAGCUCCUCCCUCAAUCUGUAACUGCCAUUUUUGCAGUAAGGAGUUUAGCUGUGUGUUUGUGAUCUUGACUGUUGUUCGCUGAAGAUUUCAGCUUCUUUUCAUGCUUAAUAAGUUACCCAUUAACUUGGUUAAUUAUUUUAGUUGAAAAGACGCUGGAUUCAACCCUGCCCUGGAGACAGGGCUGUUUGAAUGUCAGCAGAACCUUGACAACUGCAUAGGUAAAGUCUGGAAAUAAAGCAUCUCAUGGAUGCUUGAUUCUAGCUUAAGUUUUAUCCAGCAAUGGAUAGAGCUUAUAGUUGGUAUCAAGAAAAUUCUAUUGAGUUUUUAGAGCCGAGAGCUUCCAGUUUUCUUCUAGGCCCGCCGAGGGUUUGGGAGUUUGAUCCUGGCAUUCAUACCGCAGGACACGUUAUAAGAAAUUAUAGUGUUGAUUGUAGGUGAAUCUAGAGAGAAUAGGCUUCAACAGCCUGAAGGACUGGGAGUUGAAAUU
rnacentral:tRNA from 1 species